rnacentral:tRNA from 2 species
GCCACCCUAGCUCAGCUGGCAGAGCGGCUGAUUCGUAAUCAGCAGGUCGCCGGUUCGAUCCCGGCGGGUGGCUCCA